rnacentral:rRNA from 1 species
GACGAACGCUGGCGGCGUGCUUAACACAUGCAAGUCGAACGGUGAAGCGCCUUCCUUUUUGGUGGGUGUGGAUGAGUGGCGAACGGGUGAGUAACACGUGAGUAACCUGCCCCCUUCUUCUGGAUAACCGCAUGAAAGUGUGGCUAAUACGGGAUAUUCUGGGUCUGUGGCAUGAUGGGUCUGGGAAAGAUAUUGUUUCGGUGGGGGAUGGGCUCGCGGCCCAUCAGCUUGUUGGUGGGGUGAUGGCCUACCAAGGCGGUGACGGGUAGCCGGCCUGAGAGGGUGGACGGUCACACUGGGACUGAGACACGGCCCAGACUCCUACGGGAGGCAGCAGUGGGGAAUAUUGCACAAUGGGCGCAAGCCUGAUGCAGCGACGCCGCGUGAGGGAUGGAGGCCUUCGGGUGGUGAACCUCUUUCGCCAGUGAAGCAGGCCUGCCUCGUUUGUGGGUGGGUUGACGGUAGCUGGAUAAGAAGCGCCGGCUAACUACGU